rnacentral:rRNA from 1 species
GAACCGGGGAGAACCUUACCAGGUCUUGACAUACUCGUGCUAUUCCUAGAGAUAGGAAGUUCCUUCGGGACACGGGAUACAGGUGGUGCAUGGUUGUCGUCAGCUCGUGUCGUGAGAUGUUGGGUUAAGUCCCGCAACGAGCGCAACCCCUAUUGUUAGUUGCCAUCAUUAAGUUGGGCACUCUAACGAGACUGCCGGUGAUAAACCGGAGGAAGGUGGGGAUGACGUCAAAUCAUCAUGCCCCUUAUGACCUGGGCUACACACGUGCUACAAUGGAUGGUACAACGAGUCGCGAGACAGUGAUGUUUAGCUAAUCUCUUAAAACCAUUCUCAGUUCGGAUUGUAGGCUGCAACUCGCCUACAUGAAGUCGGAAUCGCUAGUAAUCGCGGAUCAGCACGCCGCGGUGAAUACGUUCCCGGGUCUGUUACACACCGA